UGAGGAAUAUUGGUCAAUGGACGCAAGUCUGAACCAGCCAAGUAGCGUGCAGGAUGACGGCCCUAUGGGUUGUAAACUGCUUUUAUGUGGGAAUAAAGUGGCGCACGUGUGCGCCAUUGCAUGUACCUCAUGAAUAAGGACCGGCUAAUUCCGUGCCAGCAGCCGCGGUAAUACGGAAGGUCCGGGCGUUAUCCGGAUUUAUUGGGUUUAAAGGGAGUGUAGGCGGUCUGUUAAGCGUGUUGUGAAAUUUAGGUGCUCAACAUUUAACUUGCAGCGCGAACUGUCAGACUUGAGUACACGCAGCGCAGGCGGAAUUCAUGGUGUAGCGGUGAAAUGCUUAGAUAUCAUGAGGAACUCCGAUCGCGAAGGCAGCCUGCGGGAGUGUUACUGACGCUUAAGCUCGAAGGUGCGGGUAUCGAACAGGAUUAGAUACCCUGGUAGUCCGCACAGUAAACGAUGGAUGCCCGCCGUUGGCGCCCUGCGCCUGCGGCCAAGCGAAAGCAUUAAGCAUCCCACCUGGGGAGUACGCCGGCAACGGUG
rnacentral:rRNA from 1 species